rnacentral:lncRNA from 1 species
GUUUUUAUAUAUGGCUGACUGGUAGUAGAUAAUCGUAUAUGAACAAUCUAAGGAUACCAAACUGCAAAUGGGUAAAGAAUGAGAAAAUAGGGGAAAAAAAAAAAAAGCUCAGCCUAAAACAAAAGAUAAAUAAAAAAUAUUCAAGCCCUUUAAUCCCUUCAGUUUCAGCACUCCAGAGGCUGAGGCAAGUUAUCUCUGUCUCUGUGAGUUCAAAGCCAGCCUGGUUUACAUGGCUAAUUCAGGGAUAACAUAGUGAGACCUUGUAUCCAAAAACAAACAAACAAACAAACAGUCCAUUAAGAUUAAAUAAAUGAUUUGUUCUUAAAAUUAAAAAUAAUCUUGUCAGAGUAAAAACUGACAUUUAAUAUAUUUAAUAUAGGGUUUUUUUUGUUUUUUUUUUUAAGUUUUGGCCUGCUGUGCUUCUGCAGUGGUUUCCUGUUUUCACCAUAGAUGGGUUAGCUAUACUAAGCCAUUUGUAGUCAUUUAAAAGGAGUUGUUUGGCACUCAUGUCAUCCUGAGACAAGUUAUAAUAAAUCCAAUCCCCUCACCUCCCCAACAUACCAUAUGUUAAAUUAAUUAAAAAUAAAACUUUUAAGCGCAACUUGUAGAAGUACCAAGAAAUUGUCUCAGCUAAAAAGCACCUGGGGCGGGUGCCUUAGAAUCCCCAUGGUUAGGUGCUAUAAUAUUUGUGAAAAUUUAAAUAAUAUAGGAAACAGGAAGUCUUAAUUCACAUCCCCAGAGCGGCGACUCCCCUCUCCUCGGUGUCUCCAUUGAAAUACCCAUAAUGCAUUUUAUUUUCAACAGCUGCCUAAUAUGUUAUUCAAGUUAAAGUAUGGCUGCGCUCUGUCAUCUAAAACCUUUGGAGACAUCGAGGAAUGAGAUAUUUCUGCCCAGCUGCAAAAAUGGUGACCCUGUAGAAAAAAAAAAGCGAGCAUAAUAAAACAAGGAGGUAGUGAGGGUAUUAAUCUUUGCCUUUCCUGUGUUUUCCCUCUCAUAUUACUUUCUUU